UUCCUCUAACUCUACUAUGACGGCUUUACGCUUACCUGGGAAACUCACAGAAGUUAAGGGAGGGGCCAGCAACCUGCCCACCUGAUGAAUACAAAACAAAACCUUUUACCAACAGAGGAAAGAAGCCAUACAGGUUUAUAAGAACAUGAGAUGAGCCGAGCACGCGGGUGCACAGAACACUCCCUGAAGCGGUAAUGUCUCAACGUUCCGCUUGCAUGGCUGCUCCGAGCUCUACUGUACAUGCUCGGUGGCCUGAGGAGAACAGAAGAAGCAGUGUGUGAGCCAUGGAACGUGGGCUGAAGACACACCCGGAUGAGUGCGAGAAUGGGAUUUAACCAUGUGAUGACUGUAUGUGUGUGUGUGUGUGUG